rnacentral:rRNA from 1 species
AUUGAACGCUGGCGGCAUGCCUUACACAUGCAAGUCGAACGGCAGCGCGGGGCAACCUGGCGGCGAGUGGCGAACGGGUGAGUAACAUAUCGGAACAUACCCUAGAGUGGGGAUAACGUAGCGAAAGUUACGCUAAUACCGCAUACGCACUAAGGUGGAAAGUGGGGGAUCUUCGGACCUCAUGCUCAUGGAGUGGCCGAUAUCUGAUUAGCUAGUUGGUGAGGUAAAGGCUCACCAAGGCGACGAUCAGUAGCUGGUUUGAGAGAACGACCAGCCACACUGGAACUGAGACACGGUCCAGACUCCUACGGGAGGCAGCAGUGGGGAAUUUUGGACAAUGGGGGCAACCCUGAUCCAGCAAUGCCGCGUGAGUGAAGAAGGCC